AGCUCCAAUAGCGUAUAUUAAAGUUGUUGCAGUUAAAAAGCUCGUAGUUGGAUCUCGGGUUUAGGCCGGCGGUUCACCUCGUCGGUGACGACUGCCUGUCCUGACCUACCUGCCGGUCUUCCCCUGGUGCUCUUGACUGAGUGUCUGGGGCGGCCGGGACGUUUACUUUGAAAAAAUUAGAGUGUUCAAGGCAGGCGUUUUUGCCUGAAUAAUAGUGCAUGGAAUAAUGGAAGAGGACCUCGGUUCUAUUUUGUUGGUUUUCGGAACUUGAGGUAAUGAUUAAGAGGGACUGACGGGGGCAUUCGUAUUACGGUGUUAGAGGUGAAAUUCUUGGAUCGUCGUAAGACGAACUACUGCGAAAGCAUUUGCCAAGAAUGUUUUCA
rnacentral:rRNA from 1 species